rnacentral:rRNA from 1 species
AACGUAGGAGGCGAGCAUUAUCCGGAUUCACUGGGUUUAAAGGGUGCGUAGGUGGGUUGGUAAGACAGUGGUGAAAUCCCCGAGCUUAACUUGGGAACUGCCAUUGAUACUAUCAGUCUUGAAUAUUGUGGAGGUUAGCGGAAUAUGUCAUGUAGCGGUGAAAUGCUUAGAUAUGACAUAGAACACCAAUUGCGAAGGCAGCUGGCUACACAAAUAUUGACACUGAGGCACGAAAGCGUGGGGAUCAAACAGG